AUUGAACGCUGGCGGCAGGCCUAACACAUGCAAGUCGAGCGAGCGGCGGACGGGUGAGUAAUGUAUGGGGACUGCCCGAUAGAGGGGGAUAACUACUGGAAACGGUAGCUAAUACCGCAUACUAUCGGAUAACCCAUAUGGGAUUAGCUAGUAGGUGAGGUAAUGGCUAACCUAGGCGACGAUCCCUAGCUGGUCUGAACGGAUGAUCAGUCGCACGGAGACGGAGACACGGCCCAGACUCCUACGGAUGCAGCAGUGGGGAGUAUUGCACAAGGGGCGCAAGCCUGAUGCAGCCAUGCCGCGUGUAUGAAGAAGGCCCUAGGGUUGUAAAGUACUUUCAGUCGGGAGGCGUUACCGACAGAAGAAGCACCGGCUAACUCCGUGCCAGCAGCCGCGGUAAUAG
rnacentral:rRNA from 1 species